UGCUGUUACUUUCACUACAUGGACCUUUGUAUAAUUUAUAUAUACAUAUACUAUAUCUACUGCUAUAUCUACAUCUCUCCACAAAAACCCUUGUUUUACUUUCACCCAAAACAAAACAUGCGACCACACCUCCACCCCAUCGUCGCCAUAAGUACGGGCAUCACUGUCCGCCACGCGGCAGUGAAUCCGCCGCCGCCGAAAAACACAACUCCUAAACUCACCACCUCUCUUUACCAAACUCAAAUAGGCCUUUUUGCUCUUAUGUGGUGUAAGAAUAUACGAGAGAGGCUUAGAUUUGGGAGGUGUAGUCUAUAAAUCGGAGGAGUGUAUGAGAAGAUGGAUGAUGAGAGGAAGGGCAAAGCUGUAAAAGGGCAUCUAAGGCCUCAUCUUGGGUGGCCUAUUUGGAAGUAUUUAGACCAGAGGAAAUGGGGAGGCAAAUCCCGACUAUGGAGACAUUGGUGGGGAAGGCGAAGUCGGAAGUAUUGGGGAUAGAGUAGGUGGUGAUGGCAAAAUUUUGAAGAUUUUAGUGGAGGGGAUCAAGACAAAUGGUGAUAGCAGGGGAGUGGUGUAAAUAAUAUGGGUAUCUGAUUAAGUUUAUGUAAAUUGAAGUUGUUAUUCUUUGAUGGAUUGGUGGAAUUGUUUCUUCACUUCAUUGUAGUUCAUAUUAAGCUCAACUGUGAAAUUUUUCAAUAUUUGGAAACUGAUUAAAUAUGUUUUGUCCAUUUUGCCCUCAAAGAAAUUAACAGAGUUACACCAAUUUGACGGACAUACACAGUUUGCAAUUAUUUCAAAAAGCUGAUAUUGCAAAUGCUCGAUUUUAAACAACAAUAUUAAAAGUGGUGUCUCGAGUAAAGUGUAGGUACACAAAAUGUACUUUACUCUUUAUUUUUUAGUGAAUGUUUAACAUAUGUAUUGAAGCUCAUUCUACCAAAAACCCUUGUCUGUCAUUUUGUUGCUCUCUUUCCGCCAUGGCCAGUUCCACUCUCAUCCCCCGGUUCUUGAAGUAUGUUUGCCGCGACGACUCCUCUUCUGAUGAAAUGGUAAGCUUUUAUUUGUUGUUUGAAUGUUAUUCGAUUGUGAUAUAUUUAUUCGCCCAUGUAUAUUAAGCAUUGGAGGGUAUGAAUGGAAUUGUUUAGUAAAAUGCAUGAAUCAAUUACUGUAUCUUGUACAUCAUAUAGCCUGGUGUUUUUUGUUAUAUACAUCUUUACGGGUGGGUGCCCUGUUUUUCUCUUGCAGAAGGUUCCACAAAAAUUCACUAAUGAGUACAGCCAGCGCUUGAAUGAGAUGUGGCUUAGAGCAAGUCCAACACUAUGCUAAAAGGUUCCCUAAAAAUAUUAUUAAAUAAUAUGUCUUAGUGAUUUAGCACAAGAUUUAGCACAUGAGCUCCAAUAGUACUCCCUAUAUCCAUUCCCUAUUAUUAUAAUAAUAUUAAAUUUAAACACUUUGGGAUGUUGUGAAAAGGGAAAUGAUGUGGAGGAGGGAGGGAAAUGAAUAUUUUAAUAAUAAAAAUAGUUUAGAAGUGGCUAGCAUAUUCUAAAAAUAGGGAAGGGGAGGCUUGUGCUAGUGAUUUAGCACAUCACUAGCAUAGUGUUGGAGUGCAAUUUUAUCCCAUAUUCCCUAUUUUUGGAUUUAAGACUUGAUUUAGCACACCUAUUGGACUUGCUCUUAUAACCAUUUGUUAU
rnacentral:lncRNA from 1 species